rnacentral:rRNA from 1 species
GAUGAACGCUGGCGGCGUGCUUAACACAUGCAAGUCGAACGAACCUUCGGGUUAGUGGCGGACGGGUGAGUAACGCGUGAGAAUCUGCCCUCAGGAGGGGGACAACAGCUGGAAACGGCUGCUAAUACCCCAUAUGCCGCGAGGUGAAAUGAAUUUCGCCUGAGGAUGGGCUCGCGUCUGAUUAGCUAGUUGGUGUAGGUAAUGGCUCACCAAGGCAUCGAUCAGUAGCUGGUCUGAGAGGAUGAUCAGCCACACUGGGACUGAGACACGGCCCAGACUCCUACGGGAGGCAGCAGUGGGGAAUUUUCCGCAAUGGGCGAAAGCCUGACGGAGCAACGCCGCGUGAGGGAUGAAGGCCUCUGGGCUGUAAACCUCUUUUAUCAAGGAAGAAGAUCUGACGGUACUUGAUGAAUAAGCCACGGCUAAUUCCGUGCCAGCAGCCGCCGCGGUAAC